CAGCGAGCCGUCCUGCAUGCUGAAUGCUCACCAGGAAACUGAUGGUUGCCUCUUUUUAACAGGGGGAUAAAGGCGAUGCUGGUGUGCCAGGCGCUGAGGGACAGCAAGGUGUUCCAGGUAUUCGAGGUCUCACAGGUGAGAUGGGACCAACAGGACCUUCGGUAAAAAAAAUAAUGUUUCUUAAAGAAACACAUUUGAUCAUUAUUCAACCAGACAAGAGUCUUGAAUGAAUUUAUUCUGUGAGUGUAGGGGGAGAGGGGACACCCAGGACAAAAAGGGGCCACAGGACCAAAAGGACCUCCGGGUAUCCAAGGCCCCAGGGGACCGCCAGGAGCAGAAGGACCAGAGGGCUCGAAGGGGAGUCCUGGUGAUCAUGGCACGACCGGGUCGGCAGGACCUGCAGGUGAAAAGGGGGCACAAGGAGAACCUGGGUUUCCAGGAAUGCAAGGUGCUAUGGGGCUGCCUGGGUUCAAAGGUCAUAAGGCAAGUUUGAAAAACACACCGAAACUGUCGUCUUUGAUUAUUUAGGGCCAUGCAUUUGAUAGACAAAACAUCAGCAGUGUUAUCAAUAUACUAAGAAACAGAUAUAGGAAUUUAUUUUAGAAUGUUAAAAUUCAUUAACAUUUUAUUGUUAGUGCUACAUUUACUUUGUGUUAGCUAAAGUUUGCAGAGGUUAAUACCGGCUGAAAAAGCUGACAUCUUUUUCUUUCUAGAAGAAGCCAAUCGAGAUUGACUCUAUUAUCAUAAUGAAAGGUUUCGUGCUGCUUUUAGGGAGACAGGGGAGAGGACGGGCCCAAAGGAUGUCAGGUAUUGUCCUUGUCAUUUGUCUAACACAAAGGGGCUUAAUGCAAUUCAGACGUGCCAAAGCUCAGUCUCCGCCAUGAAAACGACUGCGUAAAAAAAAAAAAACAAUGCAGAAUGCAUUCUGACGAUUCUAUCACCGAAUCUAAAGCCAAUUCCGGUAGACAGCAUGGUGCUGCUUGUUGUUCCAGAGUAUAAUAACCAUAAUGGGAGAGGGGGAUUGAGAUGAAAAAGACAUGCAUAUGCAACACCUGCAUGUAACAAACUGUGAAUUUCAAUAGAUUUGUACUCUGGUUCUUAUAGGAACUCAUGAAUGUUUCAUUCCUCUUGUAGGAAAUCUUUGGCAAAAUGACUAGGCGCAUGCAGUAAUAUGGGACUUUUUUUCCCCCAGUAAUGGGUACUGUCUCCGUAAUGCCUCCACCAGUCCAAGGACUGUCGAGAUUUGACACCCCGGUGAGAGUGAUGGAGGCUUUUCUAUUCUGGCCUAAAGAAGGGGGCCGAAGGGGGUUCCAAUUUUUUUUUUUUUCAAGCUUCCUUUUCAUGUGUCCUUUCCCUGGCUGCCUUUUGGGAAAGGUCAGCGGGACCCUGGUGCUGCUCCAAAGGCUGUGAAUUGUAAUGAUAACCUUUAAUUCCUGGAUGCUAUCUUUCCCCCUAACACGUAUUCAAUCCGGUUUAAGGGAGAGCGAGGCCAUGAGGGAGCCUCCGGAGUUCCGGGUGCCCUGGUGAGUUUGGUUUAGCACAUUUUUCUGCCACCAGGUGGCAGAAUUUGAAGACUUGAUUUUAUUUUUUUACAUUUGGCUAAAACCAGUUAGGCUCAAUAUGAACAACUAUGUAAAAAAAAAAACAGAAAUCUUAUAUCUGCCAAUCUGCCAAUUUUUAAAGAAAGCACAUUCAUGAUGUGUUGUGUGG
ensembl:lncRNA